rnacentral:rRNA from 1 species
AUUGAACGCUGGCGGCAGGCCUAACACAUGCAAGUCGAGCGGAGCGGCGGACGGGUGAGUAAUGCCUAGGAAUCUGCCUGGUAGUGGGGGAUAACGUCCGGAAACGGGCGCUAAUACCGCAUACUAUCAGAUGAGCCUAGGUCGGAUUAGCUAGUUGGUGGGGUAAAGGCCUACCAAGGCGAGGAUCCGUAACUGGUCUGAGAGGAGGAUCAGUCAAACGGGAACUGGGACACGGUCCAGACUCCUACGGGAGGCAGAAGUGGGGAAUGUUGGAAAAUGGGCGAAGGCCUGAGCCGGAAAGGCCGCGUGUGGGAGGAAGGUCUUCGGCUGGUAAAGCACUUUAAGUUGGGAGGCGUUACCAACAGAGUAAGCACCGGCUAACUUCGUGCCAGCAGCCGCGGUAAUAC